AUUGAACGCUGGCGGCAUGCCUUACACAUGCAAGUCGAACGGUAACAGGUCUUCGGAUGCUGACGAGUGGCGAACGGGUGAGUAAUACAUCGGAACGUGCCCGAUCGUGGGGGAUAACGGAGCGAAAGCUUUGCUAAUACCGCAUACGAUCUACGGAUGAAAGCAGGGGACCGCAAGGCCUUGCGCGGACGGAGCGGCCGAUGGCAGAUUAGGUAGUUGGUGGGAUAAAAGCUUACCAAGCCGACGAUCUGUAGCUGGUCUGAGAGGACGACCAGCCACACUGGGACUGAGACACGGCCCAGACUCCUACGGGAGGCAGCAGUGGGGAAUUUUGGACAAUGGGCGCAAGCCUGAUCCAGCCAUGCCGCGUGCAGGAUGAAGGCCUUCGGGUUGAACUUUUUUGCUUUUGUACGGAACGAAAGACUCUUUCUAAUAAAGAGGUCCAUGACGGUACCGUAAGAAUAAGACACCGGACUAACUACGUGCCAGCAGCCGCGGUAA
rnacentral:rRNA from 1 species